rnacentral:rRNA from 1 species
UACGGGGGGGGCAAGCGUUGUUCGGAAUUACUGGGCGUAAAGGGCCAGUAGGCGGCCAACUAAGUCAGACGUGAAAUCCCCAGGCUCAACCUGGGAACUGCGUCUGAUACUGGAUGGCUUGAGUGCGGCAGAGGAGACUGGAAUUCCUGGUGUAGCAGUGAAAUGCGUAGAUAUCAGGAGGAAUACCGAUGGCGAAGGCAGGUCUCUGGGCUGACACUGACGCUCAUGCACGAAAGCGUGGGGAGCAAACAGG